rnacentral:tRNA from 1 species
GGGAACGUAGUACAAUCUGGCCAGUAUGCGAGCCUCCAGAGCUUGAGAUCGGGGUUCAAAUCCCUGCGUUCCCA